GUUCAUAUCAGUCCUUUCCUGGAAUCUGCUACAGAUCAUUUGUGCCCAUUCAAAUUCAUUGCUCUGCAUAUCUGAAGAUAAAGCCACUCUGUCACAGUUUCCAGUUGCUUCAUUCCCACGCUGCAGAGCUGUUCCCAAGAACUGCACCAUGGUGAGGCGACUGCUUCUGUUCCAUUGAUUCAUGGGACAUGAGAACUCCUACUGGCCUUCAGCACCAAACAAGAGGAACUGAUGUGAGCUGAUUGAAUGCUGGGGACACGCUGAGAAAUUAAGAGCUCUUUGUCAGGCGCUGUUUGGGAAACUCACAUCCCUCUAGUGUGAAGUAAUGCCUCCUGCUCUCAAAUGAAUAGUUCAUUCAAAGCACAAAAAGAGCUGUGUAAAAAUCUUUCAGAAAUGUAUACUAUACUUUUGGGGUCCACAGAAUAAAAAUAAAGAUUUAUGAUACAUGAGAUUGAGUAAGAGAUGACAGAAUUCUCAUCACUGAGUGAACUAUUCUUCUACACCCAAGACAACAAUUGAAGAAGCUAUUUUUUAAACACCAGCGUUACAUAAAAUGGAUCUAAAAUCACUCACGCACAGAAAUAUGGAGACAGAUUAGUCUCAAAUAUAAUUCACGCAAAAAACACGAUUCACACAUGCGUAGACAAUUUCACAUGCAUGAAACCUAAUUCACGUACACACAAAAAAAAAUUACGUGCGUGAAAAAAAAUAUAUAUUCACAAAAAGCAAUUCACAUGCGCAAAAUAAAAUUAUAUAUUCA
rnacentral:lncRNA from 1 species